rfam:Macaca mulatta chromosome 7, whole genome shotgun sequence.
CUCUACAGACAUACCAGCCUGAAUGCACCUGUUCUCCUCUGAUCUUGGAAGCUAAGCAGGGUUGGGCCUGGUUAGUACUUGGAUGAGAGAAAUGGCAGAAU